CAGAGUUUCACGACUCCCAAACCACUGUUAACGUACCCGUACCGUUGCCUCGGCGGGCGGCCCCUGGGAGGGGCCGCAGCCUCCCCCGCGGAGGCGCCCGCCGCAGGUCUCCCAAAACUAUAUACGUAUUGAGUGGCACUUCUGAGCAAACUUCCAAACAAUCA
rnacentral:misc_RNA from 1 species